rnacentral:misc_RNA from 1 species
AGAGAUAGAGGGAGCGCAACUUCUACACUAUUAUUUGAGAGCGUGUGUGUGAGAGAGUGAUAGAGUCGCGCGCGUUCAAGCCGCAACUAAAGGUAGUCGAUGCGGAUGAUCUGGCGACGAUCUCGUAAAGAGGUUAGGUUAGGUGCAAGCAUUGUAAGUUGAGGGGUGCGAGGGGACUCAUACAACAGCUGGCUCGCAUCUCGACGUCUGCAGCAACCAACCGACCACCUUCUAGUAUCAACCGUCAUCCCGUGAUAGCUGUAUCACAGCUCGGGUCUCCCUCGACCGUGUUCGCGAUUUUCCAUCCGUGACUCGGUGUGAGCUAUCGUGAUUGUGUGAGUCACGUUCAGGCCAUAACCAGCAUGUGUUCUGUUCAUGGUGCAAUUCUAGAGUGAUGCGAUUCGUCAGCGUGCAGUCAGUUUUAUCCACGGUGCAAAUUUAGUUGCAGUGUAGUGUUGUGGGCCGAGUUCAAGAGUAUUGUCACAUCAAAGCGGUGAAUUUCGUUCAUGUAUAGUGUAAUAGUAGAACCAGAGUUGCAGUUGUAGAUCUUAGUUCAAAUAUUCUCAUAUUAAAGCGGUGAUUUUCGUUCAUGCAUAGCGUAGAGUAAUACAGUAGUAGAACCAGAGUUGCAGUGUAGUCUAGGUCUGAGUUAAAAUAUUCUCAUAUCAAAGCGGUGAUUUUUAUUCAUGUAUAGCGUAGAGUAAUAGUAGAACCAGAGUUACAAUGUAGUUACCAUGAGUUAAAAUUUUCUCAUAUCAACGCGGUGAUUUCUGAUCAGUAAUACAGUGAUAGAAUACAAAGCACAAUCGCAAAGCGCAAAUUUCAAUCUUACGAUGAUUGAAUUUAAAAUAAAUUCAUUUUUCAGUUCAUUUGAAUUGGUUGUUACUUGAGUAGCGUACUAUCAUCUCAGGUUUCAGUGAGGUUUUGAUGUGAAUCCCGAAAUUCCGCAUCAGUUCAAGUGAUAUCAUAUUACACUGUUCGUUUGGUUCUGUCAAGAUCUUGUCAAGUGUUUUCAGUUGAAGUGUUUUGUUUGGCAAGCAUAUAUCACAUCUGCUCAGCUCUAGUAACGCUUAUGUGUAUCGUGGCAAAGUGAAACUUUAUUACUUUUAUCGGUUCGGCUCUCAAAAUAUUCAUAUUUGCAUUAAGAUUUCAACAAUCUCUUGUUUUUGACCGGUUUUUGUGCAAUUGGGAAAUUGAAAAAAGUGAAUUAUUAGAUUGAUGUGAAUGUGUUCAUUUAAUUUUUAAGAGAUUGUUUUUAUUUUUCAAUCUUCUGUGUGCUCAGUUCAGUUACUCCCCAAAGUGAAUGUUGUGUGAUAGUGUCUUCAAGAACUCUUCUAUUAUUUGAAAGGUUGUCGUAUGGUAGGCCCACUCGCGUUGAUUUGUUGUUUGGUUUGCGCGGUGUGCGUCGAUUAAGUGGAGUUCUGGAUGGAUGAGGAUGACGCUGUCGGCUCAGCUGGAGGCGCUCAACAACAGCAGUAGGCCACGCGCAGCCACUAUGGAGGCGCCCAGCAAAAAAGUGAAGAACACCGACGAUCAGAGUAGUGCUGGUGACUUCUCCUAUAUCAGACGCAAACUGUACCAGCUGCGAUCGGGGAGAUGGCGCAAGGAGAAGAGUCCUCUGGCGUCGGAUGGCCUCACCAGGAGUCACAGUCUGGGUCGCGUCGAUGUCAUUCAGAGUCGCGAGCCGUGGUCUGGAUCCUCGCUGCCCUCACUCGACGAGAAUCAAGAUCAGUCGACUCCCGUCGCUGAGUCACCCCAGCCUUCCAGUGCAUCCUCACCCGUUGUUCGCCUCAGAAAGAAGCAGCACUCUUUCUCACAUCGUAAUGAGGUUGAUGGUACCUACAGGAGGAGUCGACCGCAGUCAUAUGCUGGACUAGAGCACUACCUCCUCGAUAAUGUCAUUGAUCCUGUUGUGACGAAACCCGCAUCAGUCGAGGCACUCCACACUGCGAGAGAACCAGUGAAAUUGCGUCGAACUGAAUCACAAAAUGAGCCCAAGAAGUCACGCACCCUUUCUUCUUUCAUACAUAGAAACUUCUCUGGUUUAUAUGAGGUAAAUCAAAAACCUCUCAUCCAUGACCCACCUUCACUCCAGUUACUCUACGUGGGUCGGUCUCGCAGCCUGACGCAGAUGGAGGCGCUAGAGCCUGAGACGGUGUUCAGAGAGGAGACGAGUGCUGCAGCGGCUGCUGCAAGGCUAGAGGUGCCCCCUCCCUCCCAGCGCAGGCGGCCGCUAGCUCGAUCUCAGGUCUCCAGCUCAGAGUACUUCAGUGUUAGCUUCGAUCUGGGAGUGGGAACCAAUUCGGAGAAUGAGUCCAAUGAAUUUCUCAUUGCAGCUAAAGGAACUUCAUUGGCGGCAGCCCUGAGCUCGGUGUGUCGGCGACGGGGCGUCGAAUUGGAGGACGUGAACGUUUACCUGGAGUCGUGCAAGAACCCCCCUCUGCCACCCCUCACCACCGAGACCUCCUGGCUUGGCGGCAAGCACAUCGUUAUCAAAAGUAAAGAAGAGAGGAAAGACAGCAAAACCUCAACAAUAUCAAAGUCAGGACAGCUCAGUCUAGGGAAACAUCAGGGGAGCUGUAGAAGAAAAAGCGGAAGGUUCUCCAGUACGAGUAUAGAAGAGACCACGGGCUCUGACACGACUGAUUUCAAUCGAGCCAGUGGCAAGAGCAGACAACGAUGGAGUGGACUGUUCAGCAAUUCCAAGGAUACAAAAAUGGGACUGCUAGUUGAGUUUCUCAAUAAUUACAGUAAGCAUGGCAUUCCGUUGUUGACUGACACUGUGGAGGAUCUGGAAGAAGCACUGUACAAUUUGGAAGAAGACUGGAGAUACGCCGUCAAAGAUGUUUUUACUCUGGGAGAAAAAAUUCAACAGCAGCAAACUGCCAUCUGGGAGUUGAUACAGACUGAGCUAGCUUACAUUCGAUCUCUCAAGGUUGUCAAUGAUUUCUUUCUUUCCUGUUUAACGAAUCUCCAAAACGAGAAUAUUUUGACGGAAAUCGACAAAUCUAAGUUGUUCAGUAAUAUAGGAGAAAUCUUCAUGGCUAACAGGAACUUCUGGUACAAUCAUAUGUUUCCAAUGCUCGCUAAUACUCGAGAAACUGGUAAACCUCUCAAUCCUCAACUUCUCUUCGAUGGAUUUUGCAAGUUUGAUGAGCUGUUCCAACCAUAUACGAAAUAUUGUGCGGAGCAGAGUCAAUGCCAACAGUAUUGUAGAGAAAAACAUCAGGAAAAUGAACUCUUCACCACCUAUUUAGUGUGGUGCGAAACUCAAAAAGGCUGUAACCGGUUAGGCUUGAUAGAUAUAUUAGUGAAACCUAUGCAAAGGUUGACCAAAUAUUCUCUGCUACUGAGAGCGAUUCAAAAGCAUACAGAAAUCGAGGAGCAUCGACUAAGUCUUGACACGAUGAUCCGGCACGUCGAUCUAUUUGUAAAUAGUGUGAAUACAACUUUGAAGAGGAAACAGGAUAUGGAAAGAUUGAGAGAGAUCUCAACAAGGAUAGAGCCAUACGAUGUUGUUGAAUCGAAAGAUGAAGACCUUGAGAGACUAGUCAAAAGCUACAACGAACUUGAUCUCACAUGCCCAAUGCCUGGAUGUAGUAACUCGCAGAGAAGGCACCUAAUUCUCGAGUCUGAUCUUCGGCUGAAAGACAGCAGCACCUCUAAGAUCGACGUGCACUGCUUCCUGUUCACGGACAUGCUGCUGAUAUGCAAGCCGGCCACCCGCAAGUCGGAGGGCCGAGUGCGAGUGCUACGGCAACCUUACCUGGUCGAGCGACUCGUCGUGCAGGAGUUGCAGCGAGACCCGGCCAGCCUCGCCCUCGUCUACCUCACCGAGUACCGGGUGCCGUCGGCCGCCUUCCUUCUCAUCAGCUCCGACACCACUGUCAUCAAGAACUGGUCAAGUGCUCUGAGAAAAGCACAGGAUCUGUACAGCAGUGCAAAGCGAGCCACAGCGGGCAAACUGAGCAGGCAGCCGAGCAGUUUCUACGAAGACGAAAUCAUCGAAGACGACUAUGAUUCUCACAGCAUCGCUUCUCUGGGACUCUUCCCUACUCGCAGUCCCAGAGGCUCCACCAGAGGCAGCAGUCUCAAUCAUUCGCACAGCGGCUCUGUGGAAAUGGAAGGAGGCGGCGUGGUUGGAGGGGGAGGUUCCUCAGUAAGCAGCAUCAGUCAGUCACGUGGUGUGAGCGUCGAAAAUGAAAUAAGAGGCUCGAGCCAAAGCUCGGACGAGGGCAUACCUCAACUCAGCCAUGAAAAGUCGCCACCUAGGUCAGAAAGACGCAAAUGCACCAGUCCGAACACACUGAGCAUCAAAGUUCCGGUGUUCUCGAGCCUGGGCCAAUCACUUCCGGACCUCAACCAGGUGUCAGCCGCCACCACCUCCUCCAACUCGAGCAUGCUCCUCGUCCCCCCUCGCGGCUCCCCGCACCGCGGCAUCACCUACCCUCCUCCCUCGCCUCCCCUGCGGCGGGCCACGGCGCUCACCCCCUCCCGCAACCCACCGCUGCUCAAGACCAGACACAUUGGUGGCGGACCCAGUCUCGUCUCCGCCAGUUGUGAUGUCGAUGUUGUUCCUAUCAUCUCCGGUGUCCCUCAAGAGAUGGGUGAUGGUCAAAAUCAAAGGUUUGUUGGAUUGAAGAGGAAUGCCAGGAGUGGAACUGUCCGUUACCCGUCCUCUUGUGGAGCAGGUGACGAGGCUAGGAAGCUGGAUGUAUCAUUGGGACAUGGCAUGCAGAAGAAGAGUUACUGCACUGUGGCGAGUGAGGGAAGCAGUCCUUGUGGAAUAAGCGAGGAAGUGGCUGCUCAACCGUCUCUGCUAGCUGCUAGCGGGGGACUCAUGUUGGUGACGUCAUCAGCAAUCGUUUCUUCACCAUCUUCGUCUUCAGUAAUUGCUCCAUCGCCGUCUUCAUCGGCAAUCGUUCCUUCGCCGUCGUCAUCUCCAGUAAUCGUUCCAUCGCCGUCGUCAUCCUCAGUAAUCGUUCCGUCGCCGUCGUCAUCCUCAGUAAUCGUUCCGUCGCCGUCGUCAUCCUCAGUAAUCGUUCCGUCGCCGUCGUCAUCCUCAGUAAUCGUUCCGUCGCCGUCUUCAUCUUCGGCAAUCGCUCCUUCACCUUCAUCAACGUCAGCGAUUGUCUCUUCGCCAUCCACGUCACCUGCUCAGAUGCUGCAUCUGCCUACUCCUGGUGAUGCGUGCUGUGGAGCUUGUUCCAGCAAUAACAGUCCAGCCGCUCCAGUUGCUGUUCUAGUUGACACCGUAACAAACCCUACGAAAAGUGAUAGAAGUAUCGAGGAGUUGGGAUGCUGUUCUUCGGAUGUAAUCAGUUCAACUCGGCUGCCUUCAGAAGAGAGAAAAGACAAAUCAAAAUCUGCUGCUGAUCAUCAGGCAUCCACUCAACUUGCCGAGAUCAUUCUCAACGAUCCAUUUUUAGAAAGCUCGGAUGUCUGAGAUCAACCAUCUUUUACUGCCAAUAGCUUCUACAGGAGCAUUUUAUUCAGCAUCGGGGCAGUAAAACACAAAAUAAAAAAUAGUUUUAAGGAUGUGCAACAUAAAAACAUUUGAGUUCGUGCUUUUCAAUGAAAAAUUGGGAACCCCUGUAGAUACAAGUUUUGAGUACCAUACCAAACUUAUAAUAAUUAUCGCUCAUAAAGUAACUUUCCUAUAAGCUUUAAAGUCCACCUAUUUGUAGUGUUUAUUCAGAAGUAUUUUACUUGAGUAAGUAUUGUGAUACUGUUAUUAUCGAUUUAAUAUUCUAUCAAAGAAAUUGUUGAUGUACCAUAAUAGAGUUUGAAGAUCAUUGUGAUAUUUUAUUAGUCAUAUUUAUGUUGUGUAGAAAUGCUGUAUUUAACUCGGGAUUUACUGAAUUUAUAAAAGUUUGUUCAAACUCUACAGCAAGGAACGCUUCAAAUAGUUUUUCGUUAGAAAUUGUGAAUAGAAGUCUUCAAUACUCUAUUUUUCUUGCAAAUCAAAUCAAAAUAUUUAUUGUACAAAACAUUGAACAAUGUUAUAGCAUCGUUGCAAAAUGCGUUUUACAAAGGUUGUGGUGGGUUGAGAACCAUUUUAUUUUUCAAGAACUGCAUUAUAAUACUAACUUAUAUAAUCUAUAUUCCUGUAUAUUUAUACAAAAUAAGAUUUCUCCGGCUAUCCUGGUAAUUUUAUAUUGAAGAGUUAUUUUUAAAUUAUUAUUUUCUAUUAACUUAUCAACACAAUUUAACAUGUUUUCAGUUUUGAUUAUGUAGCUCUCUUCUGUAGCACGCCUUUUUAUGGAAUUCAUAAAAAAUGCCUAUCAUGUAUCAAUUAAUAUUUUUCACUGGAAAUUACAUUCUUUUCAGAAUUAUAAUAUUCUAGUUGAAAAACAAGUUUCAAUAAAUAAUAAUAUAUUUAAUCGCAGUUCGACAUGGUUUUGAGACCAUUUACAAUUUAAUCAAAUUAAUAUUAAUAUUGUAUUGUUGAUGCUCCAUAUGUCAAUUCAUAGAUUAAUUGAUUACAAUUUAUUAUUUCUUUGUUUUCUUUCAUCAAAUUCGUUGAUUGAAACAUUUUUCUGUGAUUUAUUCCCUCUGGGACUCUUGGAUUCAAAUUACUCCAUGUUCAACUCUCUCCAAUUCACCCCAUCUAAUGGAUUUGACGCUGCUAUUUUUAGAGGGAUUGGAAAGUUUGGCCUAAAAAUAUUUUAUAUUUGGAUGAAUUUGUUUCCAAAUAAAUUUUUAUUCUAAGUUGCUAUAUUUUCCAAUUAUUUUGUAAUCGGUUCUUGUUGAAGGUAUUUCCUUACCACUCAUCUCCAACAAUACGAUACCUUUAAGUGCAUGAUGUGUUUCGCCUCAUUUUAUCGAAUAUAUUUCAUCAUUUUCCUAAUUUAAUUGUCUGUAGAUUCGUAUUUUAGCAACAUAAAUCAUAUUUAUAGCUGUGAUUUGCUAUAGUUCAUGCCAUUUUCAAGUAGAUAAGCUAGUAUAUUAUAAUAUCAUAGUAAUGAAUAUCAUAUAUAGUAUUCAGUAUUCCCUGACUAACUAAUGAACCAAUUACUAUAAGGAAUAAUAACCAACUUGUAUAUUGUAUACCCACUGUGCAAUAAUAUCCUCUAAAUCAUGUUCAUGAUAAAGAUUGAAGGUGUAAAUAUCUACAAGUUAUUCAACUUAAACUACUACUAUUUAUUGUAAUAUUUGCGUUUUGUCAUUUUUGACGUUUGUCAUUCGAUAUUUCCUAGUGAUGUAAAUGGCCUACAAAAGAAGUUUCUAAAAUAUCCAUGUGCUUAAACUAAAUAGUAGAUUUUUAAAUCUGUGACCUGUAAAUACUUUAUGCUAGAACACCCAAUUGCUCUUAAGUAGUAGUUUCAUAUUUUUGUAAAUAUGUGUGAGAAAAAAAUUUCUAUGAUUAACUAGUUCUAUGUAUCUAUAGAAAAACGAAUGAUAUAUUUAUUUAUUGAAAACCUCUAGAAAAUAAUGUGAAUAUCUUCUAAAAUAAUUCAAGCAUAUGAGUACGUGUUCAUGUAUGAAAUUUUCUCAAAAUUUGGCUACUUGAUAAUUUACCAGAAUUCAUUGAGGCUAGUGAUGUGAACCAGAAUUAUUUGUACAAUAUAACAUUACCGUUAUAGCAGUCGUUAGGUCAUGUCAGAGGCCCUGAAAUUGAUCAGUUGCGACCUGAAAACUCUGACACCAGACCUGAGCCAGCCAGGUCACACGAUAUUAUUAUUAUACCAUAAAAAUUCAUUAUGAUUGAUAUUGAUUUGGCUGACGUAAUAAUAUACGAGUAGUAGUAGCCUGCAAAUUACUUUAUUCAAACUGAUUUGAAGACAAUACACUACUAUUAUAAUUCAACAUUGCAUAUCAGCACUUGAUAGAAAAAAUGUAUUGAUUGAAGAUAAUAAUUUUUCGAGAAAGAAAAUUUCUCUAGCUACUUUGGAAUACCUCGGUCUAAGAGGAAUUGAAAAAAAUCAGGAUAUGUGAACUAAUAUAAAUUUUUGAACUAGGUGUUCUAGGCCUUAUUAUUAAUCACUAAUGACAUUUUGAAAAAGUCAAAUUGAAUGCCUCAACCAUACUAUCAAAACCCUUGAAAUCUGGUAAGUUCCGUUUCAGCCAUCAAAACAAAAGUAUUUCAUAGUAUAUCUUACAUAGCGACUAUUUUCCAUCAUUAUAGCAUGAAACUUAUCAAAUACGAAAUAGUUCUAGUACCUAUAUUAGUUGAUAGAAAUCGCUAUCAAAAUUUUCAGGAAAUAUAGAAUGAAUACAUGAUUUAUUAACAUGGCCUAACUAGUAUUAUAUUGAAUGUGCUUUUAAGAACGGAAUUGGACCAAAGAAUUAUCUACCUAUUUUUCAAAAAGCUUGGUAAAAUGUUUCAUUGUGUAAUUUCAAAGGUGAAACGUGAAAUGGAUACUUGGAUUUUCCGUCACUUGACUCCUCCAAUUGAAACUGAUCCAGCUCUUUAUGUAAAGAACUCAAUUGGGCCCAAUGUUACCUACUUCUUAAAAUCCAUAGUAUUCGUCAUUCGAUUGACUUAUUACUAAAACGUAAGAUUAGGAAUUACAUUUGUAAUUCAAUUUAAAGAAUUCUAAUAAAAAACAAUUUAUAGCUUCUGUAAAUAGGGUAGCCCACAGUAGCAUUUUUCAACUUGUUUCAUUGAAUCCAUUUCUCUUUCUGCAUAAACCUUCAAUUUCUGUAAUGAAAACUCAUUUCCUAUCCAUAAGUCGACUAAAGAGGUUAUUACUAAUAAAACAAUAUUCGAUAGGUGUUGCUUAUAAUUCAGUGAAUUUACGACUUUGAAUGUCUGGGAUCAUUAUAUAUAAGACCAAUUUCAUUAUUAUUGUGUAUCAAUUUAUUUUUCUGAAAUGUUGAUUUUUUAAAACUGUCAUUGGGUGACAAUAUUCCCACAAACAUAGUCUCAAUUGCAUUGUUCAGUUUUCCUUUUUUCUCACAAAAAAUCAAUAGUAAUGAAUAACAAAAAAUAAGAUAAUUCUGCUAUACAGUACAUAGCCUAAUAUUAUAAAGUAUAGCAAAAAACAAUUGAGUUUUUUCAUUAAUUUGAAACUCUCACAAAUGAGAGUCAUUCAUUAAUUUAUUAAACUCAAGCGCUUCGAUUUUCUUUUACCAUUAAGUUCAGUUUCAAUACAUUGAAUGGAUUUUCCAAAUAUCGAGGACUCUCCCAUUUAUGUUUUUUACUAUACUUUAUAAUAUUAGGCUAUGUAUUGUAUUGCAGAAUUAUCUUAUUUUUUGUUACUCAUUGCUGUUGAUCUCUUUGUGAGAAAAAAAGUUGUGAGAAAAAAAGGAAAUCUUCAACUGAACAAUUAGAUCUUCAUUUACCGUAAUUCAGUUAUUGUUACAAACAAAAUAUCCCUACCUAUGUUUAUGCUGUAUGUUUUUGAAGGGACGGAUUCAAAGAACCUCACACGUCAACCAAAGCUUAUUGUGUGUCCCAAUCCCUACCUAUAUGGUAUACUAAUGAGAAUUUUUAUUUUCCAUCCUUUGUAGAAUAUUUACUUAGAAUAUUUUUCCAUCUAAUAGAAUAUUUUACUUGGGAGACAUUCCAACCAAAAAUCAAGUACCAGACUAAAUCUAUCAAUAUACUCAGUAAGAACGUUUAAAUUGUACAGGACUUGAAGUGUGAUUUCCUAACUAGCCUAUCGCCCAAUUUGAUUUCAAAUUUAGAUAUAUUGAUAAUAUAUGUAAUCCGCUAUAUGUUAUGAGUUAUUGAAUUAGCUGGAGUCAUCUACUCCAAUAAUUAUCGUAACAAAAAGGGGACAACGUCUUAUUUGAAUAUAGGAUUUACAUGUAGAUAAUAUUUUAAUGUAUAUAUAAACUAUUUGAAUAAAUUCUGUAUUACUAAA